rnacentral:rRNA from 1 species
AGGACGAACGCUGGCGGCGUGCUUAACACAUGCAAGUCGAACGAGGUCCAACCUUCGGGUGAAGACCUAGUGGCGAACGGGUGCGUAACACGUGAGGAACUUGUCCCGGUCUCUGGGAUAACAGUUGGAAACGACUGCUAAUACCGGAUGACGUCGGAGCGUCGCAUGGCGCGCUGACGAAAGGGUUACUGGAUCGGGAGAGCCUCGCGGCCUAUCAGCUUGUUGGUGGGUAACGGCCUACCAAGGCAUCGACGGGUAGCUGGUCUGAGAGGAUGAUCAGCCACACUGGGACUGAGACACGGCCCAGACUCCUACGGGAGGCAGCAGUGGGGAAUCUUGCGCAAUGGGCGAAAGCCUGACGCAGCAACGCCGCGUGCGGGAAGAAGGCUCUCGGGUUGUAAACCGCUUUCAGAAGGAACGAAACUGACGGUACUUUCAGAAGAAGGUGCGGCCAACUACGUGCCAGCAGCCGCGGUAA